rnacentral:rRNA from 1 species
GGAUAAGCUUCGUCGUCGAGAGGGAAACAGCCCAGAUCAGCAGCUAAGGUGCCUAAAUUGUGCUCAGUGGAAAGGAGGUGAGGUUUCAUAGACAGUGAGGAUGUUGGCUUAGAAGCAGCCACCAUUUAAAAAAUGCGUAAUAGCUUACUCAUCGAGAGACCUUGCGCCGAAAAUACUUGGCGAUAAGCACAAUACCGAAGCUCUGGGUGUCCUAGUUUACUAGGGCGCGGUAGAGGAGCAUUCUCUGUGCAGUGAAGGGUGAUGGCGACUGACCCUGGAGCGCAGAGAAGUGAGAAUGCAGACAUGAGUAACGAUAAGAGCGGUGAAAUCCCGCUCCGCCGUAAAUCCAAGGUUUCCCGGGCAACGUUUUUCGUCCCGGGGUUAGUCGGGACCUAACCCGAGGCCGAUGGGCGUAGGGGAUGGUAAGCAGGUUAAUAUUCCUGCACCCAGUAAGGAGGACGCAUAAUGAAAAGCUACUAGGUUAUUGAAUUCCGAGGCGAGGCUUAGGCCGGACCGUAUAGCUGGACAGAGUGCCAAGAAAAGCCCUUACAUUAAUGGCCCGUACCGUAAACCGACACAGGUGGAUGGGUAGAAUAUACCAAGGCGCAAGAGUGAAACCUGGUCAAGGAACUCGGCAAAAUAGCCCCGUAACUUCGGAAGAAGGGGUGCCCCCUCUGGGGGGCCGCAGUGAAAUGGCCCAACCGACUGUUUAGCAAAAACACAGCAUUGUGCUAAGGCGUAAGCCGACGUAUACGAUGUGACACGUGACCAAUGCCAAAAGAUUACGGUAAGAUGUUAGCACUUUAGUGCGAAGCUUCGAGCCCAAGUCCUGGUGAAUGUCGGCCGUAACUAUAACGGUCCUAAGGUAGCGAAAUUCCUUGUCGGGUAAGUUCCGACCUGCACGAAUCGUGCAACGAGUUGGGCGCUGUCUCGACCAGGUGCUCAGUGAAAUUGUAGUUCCGGUGAAGAUGCCGGACACCCGCAGAAGGACGGAAAGACCCUAUAGACCUUAACUGUAAGCUGUUAUUGGUUGUUCGAUCUUAAUGCUCAGCAUAAGUGGGAGACAUUGAAGGGUGCGUUUAGGCGCAUCUGGAGUCAUCAGUGAGAUACCACCCUUUAAUAUUGGAUAAUCUAACCCCGAGCCGUCAUCCGGCCGUGGGGACAAUGGCAGCCGGUCAGUUUUACUGGGGCGGUAUCCUCCUAAAGAGUAACGGAGGAGCGCGAAGGUGGGCUCAGCACAGUUGGCAACUGUGUGUUGAGUGUAAAGGCACAAGCCCGCCUAACUGUGAGACCUACAAGUCGAGCAGAUACGAAAGUAGGCCUUAGUGAUCCGGCGGUAGAAUGUGGAAUUGCCGUCGCUCAACGGAUAAAAGGUACCUUAGGGAUAACAGGCUUAUCACGCCCAAGAGUUCAUAUCGACGGCGUGGUUUGGCACCUCGAUGUCGGCUCGUCGCAUCCUGGGGCUGGAGAAGGUCCCAAGGGUCCGGCUGUUCGCCGGUUAAAGCGGCACGCGAGCUGGGUUCAGAACGUCGCGAGACAGUUCGGUCCUCUAUCCUCUGUGGGCGUAGGAAAAUUGAAGGGUUCAGACCUUAGUACGAGAGGACCGGGUUUGACGCACCUCUGGUGUUCCAGUUGUUCUGUCAAGGGCACUGCUGGGUAGCUAAGUGCGGAACGGAUAAGCGCUGAAAGCAUCUAAGCGCCAAGCCAUUCCUGAGAUAAAUUUUCCCUGAAGGAUCGUGGAAGACGACCACGUUGAUAGGCUGGGGGUAGAAGUGCAGCAAUGUAUGUAGCUCACCAGUACUAAUCAUCCGUUCGACUUAAUUCC